rnacentral:sRNA from 20 species
GCUAAGCCUAGCUCGACGGAGCGAAAGUCGGAUACCCAAUCUGAUUGGCUUAGCUCCUAUUUGGG